GUGCCCCACGCGGGAGAGCCCGGGUCAAAUGACCCGGCGCCGAAGGAGCAACCGCCCCGGAAACUCUCAGGCAAAAGGACCGCAUGGGGAAC
rnacentral:ncRNA from 2 species